AGAGUUUGAUCCUGGCUCAGGACGAACGCUGGCGGCGCGCCUAACACAUGCAAGUCGAACGGAGCUUAGAGAGCUUGCUUUUUAAGCUUAGUGGCGAACGGGUGAGUAACGCGUGAGUAACCUGCCCUAGAGUGGGGGACAACAGUUGGAAACGACUGCUAAUACCGCAUAAGCCCACGGUACCGCAUGGUACUGAGGGAAAAGGAUUUAUUCGCUUUAGGAUGGACUCGCGUCCAAUUAGCUAGUUGGUGAGGUAACGGCCCACCAAGGCGACGAUUGGUAGCCGGACUGAGAGGUUGAACGGCCACAUUGGGACUGAGACACGGCCCAGACUCCUACGGGAGGCAGCAGUGGGGGAUAUUGCACAAUGGGGGAAACCCUGAUGCAGCGACGCCGCGUGGAGGAAGAAGGUCUUCGGAUUGUAAACUCCUGUUGUUGAGGAAGAUAAUGACGGUACUCAACAAGGAAGUGACGGCUAACUACGUGCCAGCAGCCGCGGUAAAACGUAGGUCACAAGCGUUGUCCGGAAUUACUGGGUGUAAAGGGAGCGCAGGCGGGAAGACAAGUUGGAAGUGAAAUCCAUGGGCUCAACCCAUGAACUGCUUUCAAAACUGUUUUUCUUGAGUAGUGCAGAGGUAGGCGGAAUUCCCGGUGUAGCGGUGGAAUGCGUAGAUAUCGGGAGGAACACCAGUGGCGAAGGCGGUCUACUGGGCACCAACUGACGCUGAGGCUCGAAAGCAUGGGUAGCAAACAGGAUUAGAUACCCUGGUAGUCCAUGCCGUAAACGAUGAUUACUAGGUGUUGGGGGAUUGACCCCCUCAGUGCCGCAGUUAACACAAUAAGUAAUCCACCUGGGGAGUACGACCGCAAGGUUGAAACUCAAAGGAAUUGACGGGGGCCC
rnacentral:rRNA from 1 species